rnacentral:rRNA from 1 species
GACGAACGCUGGCGGCGUGCUUAACACAUGCAAGUCGAACGGUAAGGCUCCAGCUUGCUGGGGUACACGAGUGGCGAACGGGUGAGUAACACGUGGGUGACCUGCCCUGCACUUCGGGAUAAGCCUGGGAAGCUGGGUCUAAUACCGGAUAGGACCGCACCGUGAGGGUGUGGUGGAAAGUUUUUUCGGUGUGGGAUGGGCCCGCGGCCUAUCAGCUUGUUGGUGGGGUAAUGGCCUACCAAGGCGGCGACGGGUAGCCGGCCUGAGAGGGUGGACGGCCACAUUGGGACUGAGACACGGCCCAGACUCCUACGGGAGGCAGCAGUGGGGAAUAUUGCACAAUGGGCGGAAGCCUGAUGCAACGACACCGCGUGGGGGAUGACGGCCUUCUGGUUGUAAACUCCUUUCACCAUCCACGAAGGGUUUCUGACGGUAGAUGGAGAAGAAGACACCGGCUAACUACGUGCCAGCAGCCGCGGUAAAACGUAAGGUGCGAGCGUUGUCCGGAAUUACUGGGCGUAAAGAGCUCGCAAGUGGUUUGUCGCGUCGUCUGUGAAAUUCCGGGGCUUAACUUCCGGGCGUGCAGGCGAUACGGGCAUAACUUGAGUACUGUAGGGGAGACUGGAAUUCCUGGUGUAGCGGUGAAAUGCGCAGAUAUCAGGAGGAACACCGGUGGCGAAGGCGGGUCUCUGGGCAGUAACUGACGCUGAGGAGCGAAAGCAUGGGGAGCGAACAGGAUUAGAUACCCUGGUAGUCCAUGCCGUAAACGGUGGGCGCUAGGUGUGGGUUUCCUUCCACGGGAUCCGUGCCGUAGCUAACGCAUUAAGCGCCCCGCCUGGGGAGUACGGCCGCAAGGCUAAAACUCAAAGGAAUUGACGGGGGCCCGCACAAGCGGCGGAGCAUGUGGAUUAAUUCGAUGCAACGCGAAGAACCUUACCUGGGCUUGACAUAUACAGGAUCGCGCCAGAGAUGGUGUUUCCCUUGUGGCUUGUAUACAGGUGGUGCAUGGUUGUCGUCAGCUCGUGUCGUGAGAUGUUGGGUUAAGUCCCGCAACGAGCGCAACCCUUGUCUUAUGUUGCCAGCACGUUGUGGUGGGGACUCGUAAGAAACUGCCGGGGUUAACUCGGAGGAAGGUGGGGAUGAUGUCAAAUCAUCAUGCCCCUUAUGUCCAGGGCUUCACACAUGCUACAAUGGUCGGUACAGUGGGUUGCCAGUCCGUGAGGGCGAGCUAAUCCCGCAAAGCCGGUCUCAGUUCGGAUCGGGGUCUGCAACUCGACCCCGUGAAGUCGGAGUCGCUAGUAAUCGCAGAUCAGCAACGCUGCGGUGAAUACGUUCCCGGGCCU